UUGUAAGGAGCUGUUACAACAGCAAUUUCUUGGUAUUCGGUUGCUUCCUGGUGUUGACUGUAUGUGCUGGUUAUUGUUUACUGAUUACUAUUGCGACAGAAUGGAAAUUACCUUUGCAGGCCUGGAGUAAAAUGACCCAAAGGAAGAGGACAAGACAUAUGAUUGUUCUACCCUGGUCCAAACCUCGAAGGUGUCAUCAUGCCCUUUGGUGCGUGUAUUCACAGCAAAGACAUAAGGAAUACACCGUGGAACCACAAAAAUAAGCAGGAAGCGGAUGGGCAAGGACCUGCCAUUUACCGCUCCUUGGCAGAGGUGCAGCGAUAGGAAAUUGUGCUGGCAUACGGCUCUGCUCUACUCUACUCAACCUGACUUAAAAUGUGAAAAACACCAUCAAUUGCGCAUGAAUAAAUAUUCAGGUAGCAGAAUUCAACUUACAGAGUAACCACAAUAGACCUUAAUAAAUUGUAUUUUCCUGAAAAAGAAGAGUACACAAGAGUUGUAUACACAGGAGUCGAUUGGGGGUGCAGUAUAUAGAAGAGCGACAUAGUGGUUUAACAAAGAAAAUGGUGAAGUUGAAGCAACAAAGAACAAGGGAUCAAAUCUCAGCUAGGGGAAAACUGGAACAGCAUCAUAGACUUUCAGCCUUUACUAUUACUACACCUUUACAGUGCCCUGAGGAGUCAAAGAGGCUGAGUCUCAGCUUCUCCCACCUUUGUUCCUUCACUUCAGCUUGCCAGUCACACAAGUCAUCCCGGGAAUGGAAAUCUCUGUCUAUACUCCAAGACUGAGACUGACAGUAGUAUAUGUUCCAGCAACUCUUCCCUCUUUGGCACCUCUCCUUACACGUCGUGGGAUUCCGUUCUAUUUGGGAACACAUGUGAAAUUGCCCAUACAGCAAUAUGAACCAAAAAAGAUUUAUUAAAAGUAGAGUGAAAAUUGAAGUGGAACAAAAGAGGCAGCUUGCUUAACAUAUCAAGUCUCAGACCUCUCGUAAACUAAACUAGAUAAUGCAUUUACAGCUUAGUUUCACAGGAGAAGAAAAAGCAAAUGGCUAGCAUAAAGUUGUGGAUUAUAAAACUAGAAAGGAACACUGUGAUCUCUUGCAUAACCCACCCCAUCCCUCACUUAAUUUCCUUCUUGAGUUAAUUUCCUCUUCUAAGCAAGUUCCAUUCUGACCCCUAUGGUCAGAUAAUCAGCACCUCUUGUUGGCCAUCUAGCAAUUCUAAUCUAGCCAACUGUAGACAAUCCCUUCCUAGUUUUCUGAAACAAUUUUCUGAAAACAAGUACUCAAAGUAGGUGAACAGCUUCCUUUUCCACCUUAUCAAAAUAAUUUAAUCACCUGAUAUGGGAUUUGAUUAAUCGAAAAUUAAAGGAGGGUAAUGGAAUUAAUGCAAAUGAACAUGGGUUUAUGGAAAAUAGAUCCUGUCCAAUUAACUUGAUUUAUUUUUUAUGCAAUUAUAAGUAUGGUUGAUUAAAGGUAAUAGUGUUGACAUAAUACACUUAGACUUCUAUAAGGUGUUUAACUUGGUACUGCAUGACAUAUUGAUUAGAACAAUAUAAAAUUAACAUACCUCACAAUAAAUGGUUUAAAAACUAACUGAUAGGCUGGCCUAAAAAUGCAAAAGCGUCUUCAUCAAGUAGAUAUGUUUAGAGGGAUGUCCAGAGGGACAGUUUUGUCCUAUUCUGCUCUAUUCUGUUUAACAAUUUUACCAAUGAUCUAGAAAAAUAAAAUAAAAAAUAAAAACCAAAAGAUAAUAAAGUUUGCAGAUGUGGGGGUGGCAAAUAAAGAAGAGGACAAGUCAUUGACUCAGAGAGAUAAAUGGGCACAAACAAGGAAUACACAUUUUAAAAUAGUUAAAUGUAAACAUAUACAUCUAGGAACAAAGAAAGUAGGCCAAAAUUAUAUGAUACAGGACUCUAUUCUUGAAACCAGUGAGACAAAAAAAGGUGU